GACGAACGCUGGCGGCGUGCUUAACACAUGCAAGUCGAACGGAAAGGCCUGCUUUCCCUUGUGGAUUGCGGGUACUCGAGUGGCGAACGGGUGAGUAACACGUGAGUGAUCUGCCCCCAACUUGGGUAUAAGCCUGGGAAACUGGGUCUAAUUCCCGAUAGGACUGCAGGGUGGUGCCUGUGGUGGAAAACGAUUUUCUAGUGGUUGGGGAUGAGCUCGCGGCCUAUCAGCUUGUUGGUGGGGUAAUGGCCUACCAAGGCGGCGACGGGUAGCCGGCCUGAGAGGGGGGACGGCCACAGUGGGACUGAGAUACGGCCCAGACUCCUACGGGAGGCAGCAGUGGGGAAUAUUGCACAAUGGGCGGAAGCCUGAUGCAGCGACGCCGCGUGGGGGAUGACGGCCUUCGGGUUGUAAACUCCUUUCGACCGCGAGGAAGCCACCUGGUUGGAAGGGUGGUGACGGUAGUGGUAGAAGAAGCACCGGCUAACUACGUG
rnacentral:rRNA from 1 species